rnacentral:tRNA from 1 species
GGUCUAAUAGUGUAGAGGUUAGCACAUGGGAUUUUGACUUGGGUAUUUCCCAUAACCCAGGUUCGAGUCCUGGUUAGACCU